UACGGGGGGGGUAAGCGUUGUUCGGAAUUACUGGGCGGAAAGGGCUCGUAGGCGGCCAACUAAGUCAUACGUGAAAUCCCUCAGCUUAACUGGGGAACUGCGUGUGAUACUGGAUGGCUUGGAUUUGGGAGAGGGAUGCGGAAUUCCAGGUGUAGCGGUGAAAUGCGUAGAUAUCUGGAGGAACACCGGUGGCGAAGGCGGCAUCCUGGACCGGCAUUGACGCUGAGGCGCGAAAGCGUGGGGAUCAAACAGG
rnacentral:rRNA from 1 species